AGAGUUUGAUCAUGGCUCAGAAUCAACGCUGGCGGCGUGCCUAACACAUGCAAGUCGAGCGAGAAAGGGACUUCGGUCCUGAGUAAAGCGGCGCACGGGUGAGUAACACGUGGGUAACCUGCCUCGGAGUGGGGAAUAACACCGGGAAACCGGUGCUAAUACCGCAUACGAUGAUUGGAUCUGCGGAUUUGAUCAUCAAAGGAGCAAUUCGCUCUGAGAGGGGCCCGCGGCUGAUUAGCUAGUUGGUGAGGUAAUGGCUCACCAAGGCAACGAUCAGUAGCCGGUCUGAGAGGACGGUCGGCCACACUGGAACUGAGACACGGUCCAGACUCCUACGGGAGGCAGCAGUGGGGAAUUUUUGGCAAUGGGGGAAACCCUGACCAAGCAACGCCGCGUGGGUGAUGAAGUAUCUUGGUACGUAAAACCCUUUCGACGGGGACGAAGCCGCAAGGUUGACGGUACCCGUAGAAGAAGCCCCGGCUAACUCCGUGCCAGCAGCCGCGGUAAUACAGAGGGUGCAAGCGUUGUUCGGAAUUAUUGGGCGUAAAGCGCGUGUAGGCGGCUUUGCAAGUCGGGUGCGAAAGCCCUCAGCUCAACUGAGGAAGUGCGCCCGAAACUGCAGAGCUUGAGUGCCGGAGAGGGUGGCGGAAUUCCCCAAGUAGAGGUGAAAUUCGUAGAUAUGGGGAGGAACACCGGUGGC
rnacentral:rRNA from 1 species